rnacentral:lncRNA from 10 species
CGCGGCGUCUGUGAGGUGUGGCGCGGCGUCUGUGAGAUGGAUAAAUCCAGCCUUAUUUUGCUACUCCAAAGUCAUCUGCACCUAUCACCUCAGAAUUCAUUCUUUUUUUUAAAAAAAAAAAAAAAAGGCCUGAGGAAAGGAAAGAAUGAUAGGCCAGAAUACUCGCAUGGUGUAAGGAUGCGCAAGUUUAGCACUUGGACACUACACAUUGAUGUCUGAAGUCCGGUGAUUCUAAGGCCAUGAAGGCGGCUUCUGAAUUGCCACCCUCACUGAGUCUUUAAUUUGACGGACGAUUUGGCAUGUUUUCAAAGCCCAGAGGAACGUCAUUGCCAAGACACCACUCUCCUGACUCCACACAGCUGAUCUCAGCUUCGCAUCAUUUCAUUUGAUCUUCAUAUUUCCUCAAGUUACCGAGAGACAAACUGUUUUUAGAAGAAGUAAUUUACAUUAAGGGGUUAAAUCCUGGGUAUAUUCUCAGGAAUGAUUACUGGGUCAUACAGUCGUUCUGUUUUUAGUUUUUGAGGAACUUCCAGACUAUUUUCCGUAAUAGACAUACUAAUUUACAUUCUCACCAAUGGUGUAAAAGAGUUCUAUUUUUUCAGCUUCCUCUUCAUCACUGUUGUAUUUCAUCUUUUUCAUAAAAGCUACUUUAACAGGUGUGAAGUGAUAUCUCACUGUGGUUUUAAUUUGCAUUUCCCUACUGAGUAGUGUACUAAGCAUUUUUUCAUGUACCUUUUGGCCAUUUGUGUGUCUUCUUUUGAGAAGUGUCUGUUUCGGUCCGUGGCCCCUUUUUUAAUCUGUUUAUUUUUUUCUUGCUAUUGAGUUGUGUGUAUAUAUAUAUAUACAUAUGUGUGUGUGUAUAAAUAUGUGUUUAUAUAUGUGUAUGUGCGUGCAUAUACAUAUGUGUAUGUGUGUAUACAUAUGUGUAUGUAUGUGUGCAUAUACAUGUGUAUAUAUGUGU